rnacentral:rRNA from 1 species
GUAUUGAAAAAGAAUAAUUAAAUUAAUAUACAGAAAAUUUUGAAUAUUUUACCUUUUGUAUCAGGUUUCACUAAUAUUUUUUUAUAUUGAUUAAUUUCGAAAUUAUUUGAUUUAAAAAAAUGUUAUUUUAUUUAUUUCAUAAAAAAUUAAAUUUUUUUUUUAGAGAUAAAAAUUCUUACGAAAAUAAUAAUACCUAAUUGAAAUCGAAAAAAAAUAAAUUUUGUCUUUUUAAAAGAUAAGUCUAGUUGGGUCAGCUAAUUAGAUUUUUAAAUAACAAUAUAUGUAUAGAGAAAACUAGGCUUUUAAUUAGCUUUGUUUAUAAUUUGUAUUAAAUAAUUUUUAGGGUUAUAAAUAAAAUUUUAAGUUAGUUUUCUUAUUUAUUUAAUAAUAGAUUAAACAUAAAAAUGGUUAAAUUAGUAUUUUUUUUUGAUAAGUUUUAUGAACUUAGUAAUAUUUUGACUGUUUAACAAAAACAUUUCUUUCCGAUAAAUAGAAAGUAAGACCUGCCCGGUGAUUAUUUAACGGCUGCAGUAUUUUGACUGUGCUAAGGUAGCAUAAUAAAUUGUUUUUUAAUUGAAAACUGGAAUGAAGGGUCUAACAAUUUUAAAAUUUAUUUGACUUAGAAAAUGAAUUUUUACUAUAAGUAAAAAUACUUAUAUUUUGUAGAGGGACGAUAAGACCCUAGAAGCUUUUAUUUAUUUAAUUAUUGAUUAAUUAUAUUUACAAGCUGUAAUUGAUAAAAUUUUGAUUGGGGAAAUAAAAAUUUUGAAAAUAAUUUUAUUUUUUAAUUAAAUAUUAUUUUAAGAUCUUUUAUAUAAAAAAGGGAGGAAAAAGUUACUCUAGGGAUAACAGCGUAAUAAUUUUGGUUAGGCCUUAUAUAUAAAAUUGAUUACGACCUCGAUGUUGAAUUAAAAAUUCUUUAUAAAGUAGAAAUUAUAACAGAAGGUUUGUUCAACCUUUAAUUUUUUACAUGAUUUGAGUUCAGACCGGUUUAAGCCAGGUCGGUUUCUAUCUUCUACCAAGCAAAAAUUUUUUUAGUACGAAAGGACCAAAUAAUUUUAAUAGUU